rnacentral:tRNA from 1 species
GGCGCCGUAGCCAAGUGGUAAGGCAGAGGACUGCAAAUCCUCGAUCGUCGGUUCGACUCCGACCGGCGCCU